UUUCUUUGUGGAAUCACCAUGGCGGUUGGGACCCUGUAUACGUAUCCUGAAAACUGGAGGGCCUUCAAGGCUCUCAUCGCUGCUCAGUACAGCGGGGCUCAGGUCCGCGUGCUCUCCGCACCACCCCACUUCCAUUUUGGCCAAACCAACCGCACCCCUGAAUUUCUCCGCAAAUUUCCUGCCGGCAAGGUUCCGGCAUUUGAGGGUGACGAUGGAUUCUGUGUGUUUGAGAGCAACGCCAUUGCCUACUAUGUGAGCAACGAGGAGCUGCGCGGAAGUACUCCAGAGGCAGUAGCCUAGGUGGUGCACUGGGUGAGCUUUGCUGAUUCCGAUAUAGUGCCCCCAGCCAGUACCUGGGUAUUCCCCACCUUGGGCAUCAUGCACCACAACAAACAGGCCACUGAGAAUGCAAAGGAGGAAGUGAGACGAAUUCUGGGGCUGCUAGAUGCUCACUUGAAGACGAGGACUUUUCUGGUGGGCGAACGAGUGACAUUGGCUGACAUCACAGUUGUCUGCACCCUGUUGUGGCUCUAUAAGCAGGUCCUAGAGCCUUCUUUCCGCCAGGCCUUUCCCAAUACCAACCGCUGGUUCCUCACCUGUAUUAAUCAGCCCCAGUUCCGGGCUGUCUUGGGGGAAGUGAAGCUGUGUGAGAAGAUGGCCCAGCUUGAUGCUAAAAAGUUUGCAGAGACCCAGCCUAAAAAAGAUACACCACGGAAAGAGAAGGGUUCACAGGAAGAGAAGCAGAAGCCCCAGGCUGAGCAGAAGGAGGAGAAAAAGGCAGCUGCCCCUGCUCCUGAGGAGGAGAUGGAUGAAUGUGAGCAGGCGCUGGCUGCUGAGCCCAAGGCCAAGGACCCCUUGGCUCACUUGCGCAAGAGUACCUUUGUGUUGGAUGAAUUUAAGCGCAAGUACUCCAAUGAGGACACACUCUCUGUGGCACUGCCAUAUUUCUGGGAACACUUUGAUAAGGACGGCUGGUCCCUGUGGUACUCAGAGUAUCGCUUCCCUGAAGAACUCACUCAGACCUUCAUGAGCUGCAAUCUCAUCACUGGAA